rnacentral:lncRNA from 1 species
GUUGGUGUGUUAGAGGUCUUGUUUCAAGACCCUGUGCGAGCGUGGUAGUUAAUUUUUGCUCGGUUGUAUGUUAUAGUUUUGGUGGAGUUGGGUUUCUGAUAAGGUUGUUUGUUAAUGGGUUAGUGGGGAGAAAUUUGAGGGAUUUGGGAGUUAAUUUUUAUUAUUUUAUUCUUUUUUUUCAAAAUUUUUCCCUUUUUCCAGAAAAGAAAACUUAUGUAAAUUUUGUGUUCUUUCCCUUUUGCUCUUUCCUUUUUCAA